rnacentral:misc_RNA from 1 species
AAGUCGUAAAAAGGUUUGCGUAGGUGAACCUGCGGAAGGAUCAUUAACACGUAUCCAACUAAACCCCGUGAACCUUCAUUGUAGUCGUGCCCUCUGUUGGAAAUACGCAAUCCCUGGUAAAUCAUUGCCGAACAGUUUUGAUUCAGAGACUUCGUUGUUCUGGCUAAGAAGACGCCUGCUUGUUAGUGGCUGAAAAUGUCACUAGCGCUGUAAGGAUGGCGCAGUAACGAUCGCUAGAGGCCGACACGGCGGCGACGGGACCGCUGGGUUUAACCCCUCUGAUCACCUUGCGAAAAUGGGCCACCAAACUUCGAACAACUGUUAACAAUAGAUAUCCUGGUUCUC